UACGGAGGAUGUGAGCGUUAUCCGGAUUUAUUGGGUUUAAAGGGUGCGCAGGCGGUCUGUUAAGUCAGCGGUCAAAGCCCGGGGCUCAACCCCGGCCCGCCGUUGAAACUGGCAGUCUCGAGUUGGAGAGAAGUAUGCGGAAUGCGCGGUGUAGCGGUGAAAUGCAUAGAUAUCGCGCAGAACUCCGAUUGCGAAGGCAGCAUGCCGGCUCCACACUGACGCUGAGGCACGAAAGCGUGGGGAUCAAACAGG
rnacentral:rRNA from 1 species